rnacentral:lncRNA from 1 species
GUUUUUUUUUUUGACGAGUCAACGGCGGGCUUACGCUGGCCUGAACCAUAUAUUACCGAGUGAGGGCCAAAUACAAGGGGUAGCAAGAGGUACAUGGGGGGAGACAGAGGAUAAAAGGAACAAAAAGAAAGACAAAAGAUUACAUAGAGGUUAUAAUCUCGCGGAGAGGUACAGCAACAUGGUUCCCCAGUCUUUGAGCAGGGAUUGUUUCUGAGCAUUCUUGCAGCGGUUGGACCAAAGAAGAACGUCUUCCGCCGCUGCCCUAGCGAUGCGAUGGAUGCCCCAGGUUUCAUUUCGGAAAACCUGAGCAUUGCAUCUUUUCCACGUGUUCCAAAGAAUGGCAAUGAUCACAGUAGAUCGGACUUUGUUGGUGAGAGCACCAAGCCAUAUAUCACAGCUGUAUACCAUGUGAUUUAGCUCAAUGAACACAGGAGGGCAUAGUUGGGCAUGCACCCAGCUAGACAGACACUAGACCAUGAGAUGUUCGUUUCAAAAAACAGGCAUAUGAAGGCUCUUCCAUGCCCAGGAUUAAAAAGCAAAAGAAAUAAAUAAUUAAAAGGAUACUCCCGACAGCCCUUCUGCACUGAGGAUCCAGAGCAGCAUCAAUCUCAUCAAACAGGUAGAACGGAGCUGGGUCACAUCGUUGGAUAGCGAAGAUCAGUGUUAAUGCCACCACUGUCUUCUGCCCUCCAGACAACUGCUUCAUGGACUGAGUUUCUCCCUUGCCAGUGAAGGAAACCUGAAACAUGACUAAGCAUGAGUCUCCAAACCUGAAACAGCCAUUAAUAAUUUUGAGGAAAGAUCAAACAGGGUGUCAUCACCAUAGUAAUUUAGGAAGAGUUUAAUAACUUGGUAACAGUUUUUUUCUUUUGACAGGACAGCUUGGAAAAUAGUAUCGGACCAUCAUCUGAAUUUCCAUGAUGAAUUUAGAAUAAUAUAUGCAUGAAUACAUAACAGAUCUCUGCAAAGAACACAUGCCUUGACUUUCGCACCAAUAUACUUCUCUAUACUCCCUUCAGGAUCUGGUUCACGAGGCGCGUCCUCAUCCAUGUCAUCAUCGCCAGCAUCACCAUCCUACAGAAAUGGAGUGAGUUAGGAACUAGAAGUGCAAGAAACAGGACCAAAGUUGGUGGGUAAAGCAAGGAAACCGAAACCUUUUUCUUCAUCAUAACCAAGUAUCCGCGGACACCUUGCACUAAUUAAGAGAACACUUCACGGAAGUGCCUUGCAACUCCUUUAAAUGUGUGUUCAAUUGAUUCAUCCUUCCCUUGGUCUAAAACUCAUAUCAACUCUCUAAUUUCUGCAUUACCAAUCAGCAGAUUUUAUGAGAUUCCAGUCUUAGGACAAUCAAAAGGGAAACAAGUUGUGCUGAUCAAAAAACUUGCCUCGAGCCUCGUCACCAGGAUCAAGUUCAGCCCGUCUUCUCCGCUGUUCAGUGAAGUUCAGGCACGACUAGUUGCUUCAAAUGCUCAGCGCAGUCAUAAAGCAGCUGCUGCUUGUUCUUUCUCUUGUACCUUUAUUAUUGGCCAGAAAAUAACUACAGCAUGGUUAACACUAUAAAAAAAGGUAUUGUGCAGCUGAGUUAGCCAGUUUAGCAAUGUAAAACAAAUGGAAACAUAGGUUUCAAAAGCAUCAGCAGGCAAUGAGUCCAAAUUUCGGAUUUUCUUCAUAUACUCAUCUUGCUUGACAAGAUACGAGCUCCUGCUGCUCAUCAACUGUUCCAAGUCCUUCGCCCCAUCUCGCACACUCUGCUCCAAAGUAGCUUCAAGAACCUGUGCUUCGAUGUACAUGAUACAAAACAAGUCGAUAGUAGCUAUACAAGUUAAAACCCAAGGAAACACUAUAACUGUAUAAAUUACCUUCAGAUCAUCCCUUUGUUUUUUUCUUUUGCAUUAACAACAUCGACAUUAGCUGCCAAAGGAUCAUUUAAGGGUGAAGGGGCAUCAUUUGAGGAUGUUGUCUCUAUGGUGAAAGAGGCAGUACCUGAUCUGUCCGGCCCUCUAGCUCUUUUCAUACUUUGUCAUUUUAAAUUUUGUUGAGGGAAUUUACCAUAAUGGCCAAUGUAGUGUAUUUUAGAACUUAACAAGAGUACAGUACAGUAGUUUGUCAUUUUAAAUUUUGCUGAGGAAAUUUAUCAUCUGAAGUUGACUUCAUAAACUUAAGAAAGGCACAUGUUUCUGUACUGUCAUGUUUUUUCUCUUCAACAGAGGCUGGCUUCACAUGUAUCCUGGUGCUAGUUGUGCAAAUUGCUAACCUGAAAAAUAUGAUGAAAUGUACACUACUGCUUACAAAGACUGAGACACCUUGGUUAUGUCCUGUCACUUCUCCAUCUGGCUUUGUGAAUCAUAAACAAAAGCAAUUCAGUUGACAUCGUUGAGGUUGAGCAUUUGUGAUUCUACUGAACCUGUUUGAGCAUAACCAGUUACAUGAUACGCUACUUGCUAAGUUGCAGUAAUAUUUACUAUUCAGGUAAGCAGUACUGGAGUUACUGGCACACGUGCAAACAUAAGUUUCAAGGUGGAAGCUCUUCUUGAGGAAAUCAAGCAGGUUUGCUUAGUCUUUUCUCUAUUGUUACUCAGUGAACUAGUUUUGGUCUGCUACCUUAUUGUGCAAUGCACAUCUUGUUCAACAAUGCUUAUAGAACAUUGUCUACUUAUUAUUAUAGGUCGCAGAUAAAGCUGUUGUUGUUGGCUUUGGAGUGUCAACUCCAGAGCAGGUGAAGCAGGUAAAUCAUAUAUAUCCAGCAACUCUCUUGCUAAGCAAAAUAUCUUGUUCUAUCCCCCUUCCUUUGUUUGCUCAAUCUUUGACAACCCUGUGGCUUCAAUUUUGUCUACAAUGCAGAUCGCGGGGUGAGGCGCAGAUGGUGUGAUCGUCGGGAGCGCACUGAUGAGGCAGUUGGGUGAAUCUGGUUCUCCUGAAGAAGGAUUAAAGAAGCUAGAACAAUUGGCCAAGAACCUAAAGCCGCAUUUCCAUAAAAACAUGCAGUUUUGUGGGGGGCGGCACAUAAAUAUCAUGUUUUUUUGGUUCUGUUUUAAAAGUGUAGCAUUACAAUCUUGGCUUCGGAUUUCGAAGGAUCCUCUUGUGUGAUAGAAUAAAUUGUAUCGAUGUGUUGAAUGCUCAGGUCAAUAAAUUGAGGUUAGUGUUAUAAAUGAUGCAAAAGAUCAUCACUUUGUCCCAAUGCCAUGACAAUGGUUUCCUUGGUUUUUAUUUAUUUUAAAACAGCAUUCCUCAGUGUUUACAAAUGGCUUCAACACGAGCGUGCUAAAAUGUACAUAUAUGGUGUGAAUAAAUGGAGAAAUGACCCUGCAUGCCAUGCUUGCAUCAUACUAUUACAUUGAAUACAUUCUGGUAAUAUACCUGCCGUUUCUUUAUUUUGCUAUAAAUGUUUGAACAUGCGGCUGCAGGAGAGACCUCGCCACUAAAUUUCGUUGAAGUUAUAAACACUUACUAGGUCAAGCAAGAACUGUCAUGUUGAAGUCACUUCCUGGAUGAUAGCAUAUGACAGUGGUAUGACAGUCUAGUCAGGAGUUACUUGCAGAACUAAAAUGACCAUGGACAAUUUACUCAGAACAAGGACACUGUAGGGUGUUAAGAGUGCUGGUGAUGAACAAUGAACCUGUGUGGCAUUACAUAACCAAUCUUCACUACGAACAGUGGUAUCACUGGAUGAGUUGUGCUAUUAUCUUCCCCUAAAAAGCAAAUAAAAUACAAUUCUGUUCUCAGACUGGCAUGCACUGCUAUUAUUUGACACCAUGCAAACAGAUUUCGCUGAAGGAAUCUCCCAGUCUGUAUGUACAAGAACUUAAACAAGUUGAUGCAGGAUUCCAAGGUAUUUAAUGACGACAAAAGGAGAUAUCCAUUUCAAAUAGCAUAUGAGAGCACACUGCUUUCAAAAGCAUCAAAAAAGGAUGACGUGAAUAAUUUAAACAACCAAUGAAAAUAAUAAUCAAUUUGCUGGUCAAGCUAAACCUCUCAUAUGGACAUGAACUCCAAUCUCAAAAGGAAACCAAAGAUCUUUCUUUUUAUUGAAGUUUGCAUUCAAAUUUAUUUCCAUAGUUUACGUCACAAACAACAAAGUAUAUAUUUUUUAUAUGCAUUCUUAUUCAUGUUGUUAUCCCUAUUCGAUGACAAGCAUACCAUUACACAGUAACUGUAUCAAAGUUUACAAAUGCUCCUAAGUAUAUUAAAAAAAAUCCGCGGGACAUGCUCCUGAUUCGUGAACUACAUACAAAGCUACUGCAUAUGACAGUGGUAUGACAGUAUAUUCAGGAAUUUGUCGCAGAACUAUACUGACCAUGGACAGUUUACUCAGAACAAGGCCACUAUGGGGCAAGGGUGAUGGUGACGAACAUUGAACAUGUGUGGCAUUACAUGACCAAUCUUCACUACAAAUAGUGGUAUCACUGAAUGAGUUGUGCACCUAUUUGGUAUUCUUUGACACCAUGCAGGCAUAUUUUGCAGGGGAUCUCCCAGUGUGUAUAUAUGUACACCAAUUUAGACAAGUUGAUUCAAGAUUCCAAGGUAUUAAAUUACUACUCCCUCUGUCUCCUUUGUACUCCCUCUGUCUUACAUUUUGCGACAGAGGGAGUACAAAGGAGACAUCCAUUUCAAACAACAUAUGACAGGAUACUACUCUCAGAUGCAUCAAAAUAGGGUGACAUCAAUGAUUUAACUGUGAUGGAUCACAAGUUACAGUUACUUGAACUAAAUAAAUGGAUAGUGAUGGAUAACAAGUUACAGUUACUUGAAAUAAACAAAUGGAUAGAAAGAGGAUUUAUCCAAUCCACCACCCUAAAUCAAGGAAAUCUGGGCCAUACCAACAUCUGAUUCUCAUAAAGUCACUGGAGCCAUGCCUGCUCAGCAAACAUGAAGCUGCUCC